UCGCAUACCGAUACCAUCCUCGACAUGUUAUAUCGUGCACGCCGGACGUGUGUAUCAAACACUUUAUAAAAGAUAAAUAGUAAUUAUAAUCAAUGUCUAAUGAUAAUAUUAUAUAACAGGUGAUCCAUUUAAAUGAGUCUAUCUGGGUUUAUCUCUGAAGAUAAUAACUUUUUCCGGAAUUUGUUUUCUAGGACUUUUAAGAACUUUUCUACCAGAAAUCUUGCUCCCCCAUGUAUCAAUUGUAGCUUAUUUUCUAAAAGGAAAUAUUAUCUCCAUAGUUUAGGGAGGUAAUUUUUGUGA